UUUGCUUUUAAGAUUUAACUUGCUGUUAAUGUCUCUGGUUUUGCAUCUAUAUCUCUUCACCUAGUUAUCUCAUUAUAUCUUAACUGAUAAGUGAUUAGGUCUUAUUAGGCUUGUGGCUCACGCGUAUAUGAUAGGGAUAAGAGAGUCUAGCUGUUGCACAGAUAAAUAGAAGUCUUAGUUACCUGGUUCAGUGGCUGCCGCUAGAUUAACAGAGCAUUAGCACCGAGUGCAUCAGAAUAUGUUUUUAUGUUUUGGUUGCCGCAUGCUUUAGAUCAGUUUAGGGUUUUUCUUGCUGCUGCUGCAUAUGCAUUUAGGCUUUUCCGUAUGGUAUAAACACUAGCUGCAAUGCAUUAAACAGAUAGAAAAUUUCAUGAGCCGCAUAUGCAUGAAUAUUGGGGUUCUUAGAUAAAGCAUCUAAAGGCAGCAGCCUUGGUUUUUUUUUUUUAGCAGAAAGAAUUAUUUUUAUUGCUGCUAUCUUGUGGUUUCAACAACAUGCGUUUUUAAAGAGAAAAUAUUAUUUUCAUGCUGUUUUCAUUUAAGGUUUUAAUUGAAUGUCAAUUAUGAAAAAAUGCCUUGUGAUUUUCGUAAUUGAUUGUUUUUCAAAUAAACACUUCAUCAUAUAAACAUUUUGUAUGAUCGAGUUAGUAUCUUACAAAGUUCGAGGAAAAGGUGAUUGACGAUCGCGUUAGUGUUGUGCCACUUCAACUUGAAGACUGAAGAGAGAUCGAGUAGCAAAGCGCGGAGACAAAACUGCCUACUAGUAUGCGUGUCUAGUUGAUGAGUUUUCUGAGAAGCGUAUAUGAUAGUGCCCUGCCCUUUCCGUACCUGAAAGAAAUCAAGGUAACUGCAUGUACAGUGCUGAGAAAGCUUCCAUUCAACUCCAGAAGUGCUGAGGGGAGCAAUAUUGUAAUUAGAGGACAUGAGUACUAGUGGUCUUUCUUAGAGUGGGAGGACGAAGAUGCUAGAAAAGUUUUUCUUCCCUGCUUCCAAAACACGACAACUAAGUGAGGCAGCGAGAGGGCCUUAUGUAAGAACAAAGAGGAUGGUUCUGCUUGUAUAUAGGUGCAUACCAUAAUAUAUUCAAUAUUGUGCUGUUGUUUGGAUAUUCAAAGCCUCUAAAUUCCAUAUUCUGUGAUUCUUCUCAUUCA